AUGUGUGAGUGCGUGAGUGUGAGUCAAUCAUGUACGUUUCGAGAGUGCCACAGAAAACGAGGGGCAACUUUCUCAAAUCUCGGGGACCUGAGGCUGUCUACAGUUCCAUUUGCAUUCGCAUUUGGUGCUGAAGCAAAAGGAAGGGAUCGACGCUCUCCAAAGCCUUCUUCGAAACUUCUGCGUUGGGGAUUCGGUGUCUCCCUGGAAAAAGGAUUAGACCACAAAGGAAACUGAAAUAUUGGGAAAAAAAAAAGGUGCCCCAGGGCAGAGAUCCACCCAAGAGAAAAGUCAAAAGCAGUCUUUGAACUGAAACAGCAAAAGAUGAAUGGGUCUGUUUGGUUGGGUCAUGUCUGGGAAAAAUGGUUUCCUGGCAUCUAUAGAAGAUCUUAUCUGAUGAGAUGAAGAAGAGGUUCUCCUCAAAGCAUCAGACAAAAGAAAAAUCAUGACUUGGAGGAUCAACUGUCAGUGGUCUCAUUAGCAGAAAAGGUGAUGUAACUUUACAGCUAAAAUUGGAACAGUUUAGAUCUCAGAAACCAAAUUGUAAGGCAAUUUUCACCUAUAUUUUUGGAGCCUUUUUAGUUGGGAUUUUUUCUUCUUUCAAUUGCAAAUAUAGAUCAGUCUGCUAAACUAAAGACACAAAACUCUAAAGUUGUGAUUUUUCAUUACCCUACCAAUCUCAUGUCCUCAGUACACUUUGUGAUUUUGAUCAAUUUUCACAAUCUCAAAUGCUGGUCAAAGUUCAUUCGUUCAUUCAUUCAUUCAAUCAUAUUUAUUGAGUGCUUACUGUGUGCAGAGCACUGUACUAAGUGCUUGGAAAAUACAAUUUGGCAGCAGAUAGAGACAAUCCCUACCCAUCAACGGGUAGUUCAGUAAAUAAAACUAGCAUAAGUAAAGUGCUCUGCACCACAAACAAUUAAGAGUUAAACUUUUCAGAAAUGAAUAUGAUUUGCAGAACUUUUUUCUUCCAUCUUUCCAGUUGUAUUGGCUCAAGGCCAAAGCACCACUUUCUUUUCUUCUCCAAGUAGCUCCUUGGCUUGGAGCCAUUUGGGGUGGCUCAUAGAAAUAAGGAAACUUUUGAGUCUCAAAUACCUCCCAUCUAAUUGGACCUUUAAGGAAUCCCCAGUUUGAUAUUGCUUUGGACCUUGGCACUUUUCAUCUGGUCAUGACUCUGUGACUGUGCUUAUGGCUGUAGCACCUGUGCAGUUCUGGGAAUGUAGCCCAAUAUCAAAAGGGCCAACUUUUCAUUUUGAGGUCAGAGUUGGAAAGGGGAGGAGAGAAACAAAAGUGAAGCUUGGAAUUGGCAGGCAGGAUUUGAGGAAUUAAUGGGUCAGAAAGAGCCAAUUUUCGAUCAUUUCAGCCCUGCUCGGAAAUUCUUAGCUCAUUUCAGUCCUACACCAGGAAAACAGUGACUUUUAGAAUGACAUUUGUUCCAGAAAAAAGCAAAAGGCAUUGAUUUAAUUCCUAGUUAAUUUUCCUGGUUAAUAAGACAGGUAUCUGUAAAUGGUUUUCAUGAAAAAUAAUUAUCUUCAUGGAAGAGCCAAACAACAACUAAAUAGAAAAAACUCCCAAAAAAAUCAUUUUAAAAGGGUCUGAAAUGCUUGCAUAAAUACUAUCAGACAAAAUUUGUUGAUAUUUUAAUUUUAGUUUCCCUACUGGUUUAGCUUGCGCCUAUUCAAAAGUGAAUAUGCAAUCUUUUUUAGCAAUUAAUCUGUGGGAAAGUUUGUUUGUCAUCUGGAGGACAUGACUCUUUACAAUAUUGAUGACUAUACACAUUGAUAAAUGUUGUGGAUACAGAUAGAUCAAUGUCCUGGAAAUAAAACAGACAAUGAACAGAGAAUAUUGCAUCUAAAAUACUGAAAGUACUCAACUUUCAGAACUUAUCAACAGCAUUACAAUUAACACAUUUACUAUCAAAGUUCAAUUUAUUUUCAACGUCUGCAAGUUCUGUAUGCCUAGAUUUUUUUUCAUAUUUUAGAAUUAUUAACCAAAUCUAUUAAUUGUCCUGUUUUCAAGUUGUUGUUUUUUAAAUGACUUAUUUUUAGGAAAAUUCUAUUACUUUUCAAUAUUAAAAGAAUGCAGAGAAAAAGCACAGUAUUUUUAGGAAAUAGUGUCAAUCUGUAUGAUUUCUGACAAAGUGGAAUAAAUUUGGAUGUAGACAAAAAUAUUGUGUCCAUUUUUCACUUUGCCUAGUGUUUCAUUAACCUAUAUUCCAUUCAAUCAGAUUUCUUGCUCCUUAUCCUUUAUCAUUUUUACUAUGUAUUGUAUGUUCAUUUUGAGUCUCUUGAAGCUCAGGCUCUCAAAGCAUAAUUUUGACUUAAUAGUUCUGCUUGUAACUAGCCUCCUGCAUGUUGCUAGGAUACCAUUUUGAUGGUCAACUGGCUCUAGGGCUGCUUUUAUUGGUUGCUGGUCUGGCAGAGAAUAUUUGUUUUCAUCCUUUUAAUGUAUGAACUAUGACUCAGUUAUUUUUAUUUUUAUUGGUAGUUUUGAGAAAACAUCAAUCCCAAAUGCUUUCAAUUAAAGCUUAGCUAGCAAUUAUGAAACCUCAUUUAUAUGGUUUACACUUUGUCAUUCCAAAUUGAUCAGUUUGCAAUAGCUUAAUGAUUACUAUAUGGCCUUUUAAUAUUUGUUAAUUUGAGAACAUAUGAAUAUAUUGAUUAAGAUUGUGGGUAGGAGAGCUUUCACAGACUCAUUUUUUGGGGAAAGAACAGUGUGGGGCAAAAAGUAAGUGCUCAAUAAAUAUGAUUGAUAGAUUGGUUGAUUGAAGAAAUUGUUUAUUUUCAGAAUAUUCUUAUUGGAGCAAUUAAGCAACUCAUCUUCAUUCAUUCUGGUAAAAUGUUCAAUUAUCAGAGAAGCCUAUGUAUAGAUUUUUUUAUGCAUUGUCAAUAUUAUUUUAUGUCUCUAUUUCUUU
rnacentral:lncRNA from 1 species